rnacentral:rRNA from 1 species
AACGAACGCUGGCGGCGUGCUUAACACAUGCAAGUCGAACGCGAAAGGGACUUCGGUCCUGGGAGUAAAGUGGCGCACGGGUGAGUAACGCGUAGAUAACCUGUCUUCAUGUCUGGAAUAAUACGCCAAAGGGGUACUAAUACCGGAUAUUCUUGCUUUUCAUAAGUUAUGCAAGCAAAGGUGGCCUCUGCAUAUGCUACUGCAUGAAGAGGGGUCUGCGUACCAUUAGCUAGUAGGUGGGGUAAUGGCCUACCUAGGCGACGAUGGUUAGCGGGUCUGAGAGGAUGAUCCGCCACACUGGCACUGGAACACGGGCCAGACUCCUACGGGAGGCAGCAGUGAGGAAUAUUGCGCAAUGGGGGAAACCCUGACGCAGCGACGCCGCGUGAAGUGAGGAAGGCCUUCGGGUCGUAAAGCUCUGUCAAGAGGAAAGAAGUGUACAAUGGCUAAUACCUGUUGUAUUUGACGGUACCUCUAAAGGAAGCACCGGCUAACUCCGUGCCAGCCGCAGC